CACGUAGGGUGCGAGCGUUGUCCGGAAUUACUGGGCGUAAAGGGCUCGUAGGCGGCCAACUAAGUCGGAUGUGAAAUCCCCAGGCUUAACCUGGGAACUGCAUCCGAUACUGGAUGGCUUGAAUCCGGGAGAGGGAUGCAGAAUUCCAGGUGUAGCGGUGAAAUGCGUAGAUAUCUGGAGGAACACCGGUGGCGAAGGCGGCAUCCUGGACCGACACUGACGCUGAGGAGCGAAAGCCAGGGGAGCAAACGGG
rnacentral:rRNA from 1 species